AGCAAGACACUAAGGGUGACUACCAGAAGGCGCUGCUGUACCUGUGCCCCAACCUAAUGUUCUAGAGAAUCAGCCUGCCACUAAUGGACCCCUGAACUCCUCCCUGUGAAGAUGACGACAGAGCUGCCGACCCAUCCCCCAUCUUAGCUGCCUUUGCCUGGCUUUCCCCUCAUUCUCUCCUUUAUGCCAAAGAAAUGAACAUUCCAGGGAGUUGGACGUACCGUCUGUGACAUGAGACACUUCCUCAUAUGUGUCGUGAAUAAACCAUUUUUACUUUAG
rnacentral:lncRNA from 1 species